CCUACGGGAGGCAGCAGUGAGGAAUAUUGGUCCAUGGACGGAAGUCUGAACCAGCCAUGCCGCGUGCAGGAAGACGGCUCUAUGAGUUGUAAACUGCUUUUGUACAAGGGUAAACCUGAAUUCGUGUAUUCAGCUUAAAGUACUGUACCAAUAAAGAUAGGCUAACUUCGUGCCAGCAGCCGCGGUAAUAGGGUGGAUCCAAGCGUUAUCCGGAUUUAUUUGGUUUAACGGGUGCGUAGGGGGGCUUUUAAGUCAGCGGUAAAAAUUCGGGGCUAAACCCCGUCUGGCCGUUGAAACUGGGGGCCUUGAGUGGGCGAGAAGAAGGCGGAAUGCGUGGUGUAGCGGUGAAAUGCAGAGAUAUCACGCAGAACCCCGAUUGCGAAGGCAGCCUUCCGGCGCCCUACUGACGCUGAGGCACGAAAGUGCGGGGAUCGAACAGGAUGAGAUACCCCUGUAGUC
rnacentral:rRNA from 1 species